rnacentral:rRNA from 1 species
AACGAACGCUGGCGGCAUGCCUAACACAUGCAAGUCGAACGAGACCUUCGGGUCUAGUGGCGCACGGGUGCGUAACGCGAGGGAACCUGCCCUUAGGUUCGGAAUAACUCCCCGCAAGGGGUGCUAAUACCGGAUAAUGUCUUCGGACCAAAGAUUUAUCGCCUUUGGAUGGGCCCGCGUUGGAUUAGCUUGUUGGUAGGGUAAAAGCCUACCAAGGCGAAGAUCCAUAGCUGGUUUGAGAGGAUGAUCAGCCACACUGGGACUGAGACCCGGCCGAGACUCCUACGGGAGGCAGCAGUGGGGAAUAUUGGACAAUGGGCGAGAGCCUGAUCCAGCAAUGCCGCGUGAGUGAUGAAGGCAUUAGGGUUGUAAAGCUCUUUUACACGGGAUGAUAAUGACAGUACCGGGAGAAUAAGCUCCGGCUAACUCCGUG